GCGGAUAUGGCGGAAUUGGUAUACGCACAUGAUUCAGGUUCAUGUAAAUGUUUGUAUUUAUGCAGGUUCAAGUCCUGUUAUCCGCACCA
rnacentral:tRNA from 1 species